rnacentral:lncRNA from 14 species
CCCCAGUGCUGCCAUGCCCCUGCCCAUGUGCCUGUGCCUGCUCUGGGGCAGCUAUUCUGAGCUGUGGCCGAGCUGCUCCGUGUAUGUAUAAUUACCCCAUCCCAAGGAGCAGUGCGGAGCUGCCAUUCCUCUGCUCCCAGGUAUUUUUAGCUGCAGCUUCAGCUGGGAAAGGGCCUGGCCCCAGAGCUGUGGCCACAGCCCGGAGGAAGAGCCGGUCCCACCGCCCUCCGGGUUCAUCCGGCUGAACAAUGGACCAGAGAGCCUGGAAAAGUGCUCCCGCUUCCCAGGGCUGGCGCCGGGCUGGGCACUGGGGAGCCCUGUCCCCUCCCAGGGAUGCCAUCCAUGGGGACCUGGCUCUGUGUGCUCCAGCAUCCUCCCCAGGCUCAGGCAGAGCCAUCCCCACAGGGAAGAGGGAUUUCCCCACACCCUCAUCCCUACUCCUUCAACAAACACGGCUCCCAGGGAGCAUGGGGACAGCCUGGGGACAUGGGGUGGUGGUGAGAAGGGGCAGGACACUGCCCACCCUUGUCCCCAGGCCCGACUGGUGGCCAAUGUGACAGCGCUGGGGCACGAGGUACUGGCCCUGCAGCGGGAGCGGGAUGAGCUGGCCCGUGGCAAAGCGGCUCUGGAAGAGGAGCUGGUGCGGGGAGAGGAGCGGGCGCUGGGGCUGCGGCAGCAGCUGGAGCAGGCGAUGGAGCAGCAGCGAGCGCUGCGGGCGCGCAGGGAGCGCUGCGAGGCGCGGCACAGAGACCUCGAGGCUGCGCUGAGGGACUACGCGGCCCAGGUGGAUGCUCUGCGGAGGCAGGGGAGNNNNNNNNNNNNNNNNNNNNCCAGCCAUCUAUCCUGAUCCAGCUGCCUGCCAUGUGUCAUGGUGAUCCCACCAUCUCCCGAAGCCAUCACAUCCUGAUCCAGCUGCCUGUCCUGAAGCUGUUGUGUGUCCAUGUCCCAGUGCCACCGCACAUCCUGAUCCUAUUGUGUGUCCCAAUACCAGGACCGGAGCAUGGGAUCACCCAGCUUUUUGCACAGAGCUUUAGCUCAACCACUGACUCCUUGGAGCUGCUUUAAUCAGCUCCAGGGUUUAACUCCAUGUUCUCAAUGCAUUCCAGAAACUGGGAAGAUUGGGCAGGGGUUUGGGCAAUAAAGGCUGCUCUGCUCCCUGAGAUGCUCUCCCC